rnacentral:ncRNA from 1 species
GACACCGUGUUGACUGGGAGUAGUAAGGGUAAUCCCCCAUGACAGAGAACCGUUGCAGGCUGAGAGACGGGAUGGGCAGAUACCGUGAAGUCACCCAUGAGCAGCUGCCCGAACGCUUUGCAAGUAGACGCAGCCGGAAGACCACCGUUAGCGGGUCAGGCAUUGCAAGGAACGGGGGUUCCGGAGAUGCACAGAGGGGUCGUUACGACAAUAAGAGUGGUACCGCAGAGCUGAACGCUUUGUCUCUUUU